rnacentral:rRNA from 1 species
GUGUGCAGCCACACCACCCCGGACGCACCUAAUCUCGCCUGAUCUCGGAAGCUAAGCAGGGUCGGGCCUGGUUAGCACUUGAAUGGGAGAAGUGAGCUGGAAGUUGGUGGUA